rnacentral:rRNA from 1 species
UUACCGAGUGCGGGUCCUUUGGGCCCAACCUCCCAUCCGUGUCUAUUAUACCCUGUUGCUUCGGCGGGCCCGCCGCUUGUCGGCCGCCGGGGGGGCGCCUUUGCCCCCCGGGCCCGUGCCCGCCGGAGACCCCAACACGAACACUGUCUGAAAGCGUGCAGUCUGAGUUGAUUGAAUGCAAUCAGUUAAAACUUUCAACAAUGGAUCUCUUGGUUCCGGCAUCGAUGAAGAACGCAGCGAAAUGCGAUAACUAAUGUGAAUUGCAGAAUUCAGUGAAUCAUCGAGUCUUUGAACGCACAUUGCGCCCCCUGGUAUUCCGGGGGGCAUGCCUGUCCGAGCGUCAUUGCUGCCCUCAAGCCCGGCUUGUGUGUUGGGUCGCCGUCCCCCUCUCCGGGGGGACGGGCCCGAAAGGCAGCGGCGGCACCGCGUCCGAUCCUCGAGCGUAUGGGGCUUUGUCACAUGCUCUGUAGGAUUGGCCGGCGCCUGCCGACGUUUUCCAACCAUUUUUUCCAGGUUGACCUCGGAUCAGGUAGGGAUACCCGCUGAACUUAAGCAUAUCAAUAAGCGGAGGAAAAGAAACCAACCGGGAUUGCCUCAGUAACGGCGAGUGAAGCGGCAAGAGCUCAAAUUUGAAAGCUGGCUCCUUCGGAGUCCGCAUUGUAAUUUGCAGAGGAUGCUUUGGGUGCGGCCCCCGUCUAAGUGCCCUGGAA